GUCGUGGAAUGUUCCAGAUUCCAUUGGGGACAGUUAGAAUGAGAUUGACGUCGGACGGAAAUAUUUGAACAAGAGAUUCAUGGAACGCCCGAGAUUCCUCCCGGGACAAUUGCAGAAGAUCAAUGUCGAACAGAAGUAUUUAGAAACGUAGAUAAUGGGAAUAUUUCGAAAUCCACGAAACAAGCGAUCCUCGAGAUUCCUGCAGCGACCGACACACGAAGAAAAGCCAGUGACAGGCGUGAUACGCGAUCCGCGAGAAAAAGUCACGGGAAAACGAGUCGGAGUUUCGUUUCGACUCUCUCGCGCGCGCGCAGAAAAACGCGACCAACUCGCGUUACGGCCAGGUAGUCGCAUAAUUUCUGAUCGGCGGUCUCGCGCGCAUCCUUGACACCAUCCGCCCAAAGGAUGUGCUAAAGGUCGCAGCUGUCGCGCGCGCGCGUGCACGCACGCCGGCGCGACAUGACGUCCGAUUUCGCGAUCGGACCGUUUCCAUCGAAGAAAUUUCCAGCUGUCCGCCUCGGAGUUUCGUCGAGGCAGCAACCGACAUGCAACCGACAACCGUGCCACAUGAAACUCGAUUUUCACCGAAGGAAACGCCGGGUAUUAAUAGCCAGCGGGAACACGAGAUGAAAGUAACGCGGCGCGUCGAGCAAAAGUGUAACACUUUUACGGAAGACGGGGAACCGGCGGACUUUCCACGUACCCCGCGAGGAUCUAUUAUUAAUUCAAGGCCGGAUCGAGGCGGGCGGAGGGCCGAGGACGAGGGGGGCAAGCGAGGAUCCCCGGCGAACGGACGCGUCCGCGGAGGAACGAGAUUCUUUCCGGAGGGAUGACUCCAUUUUGGAGAACCGCGGGCACCGCGGAGCGUGACCGCGUUAACGCCGUGGAAAACUUCGGCGUGCCGCUUUUCCCUCGGCGGGGAAGAUCGAAACGAGCAAUGAAUUAUCUGGUAACAGGAUUCUCGCAUCGGAAUAUUAUCCACUCAUUCACGCUGUUCAUUCUAAUUGGAUAGUUGUCCCAUGAAUUAUAAUCGUCUUCGGGUACUUCGGAAGCUAAGGCCACCGAUGACCGUCGCGGCAGUCAACGUGUUAAUUCCCGGGAAUACUCGAAAGGACGACCAGCGUCGCGGUAAACCAGUCGAUCGCGAAUAUUCUAGGUUGACCUUGACUCCUCCGGAGUGAAUCGGUCCAAGAGCUUCGACCGUUGGCUCCUGCUGGUCUCUAUUUUAUCAACGGGAACGUUCGGUCCGCGGGUGAGCGACGAUAGGAACGGUCGCGGGUAACGAUCCUACGAAGGGGGACUGUCGUGCAAUGUCUGCCGUUCGCAGGUACGGUUCCAUACGAAGGGCAAAGGGAAGGACAGCCAGGAAGCUGGAGUGGAUCGGCGCGUUAAGGGAUCACCGGCGUUAGACGCCUAAAUGGCUCGCACCUGAAAUUCACGGAGCUGGAUCCUUGAAGCAGACGGUUCCUCGUGAUCACUUACCCGUCCCCAUGGCUGACAGCAGCCUCCUUCAGCCACGAUUCCUCCUUGUAUACGUGGUCCAAUGCUGGUUGGUUUCACUAGCUGGUCAACGGUGGUAAGGAAAAAAAUAAAUAAACCACUGUACACCUCUCGGCGAAGACGUCGGGGAAAAGGACGAGCUCCUCGUCCAGCCGGUAGACCGCGGACGAACUGGCGGCUGGCGAAGACUUUUGGUGAGACUUCGACGUGAGAC